AGAAAAUUAGUCAAGCAUGAUUUCCCCUUCAUAAAUCCAUGCUGACUCGGACCGAUUCUGUUACUGCUAUCCAAAUGUGACACUAUUUAAUCUCUUAUAAUUGACGUCAGCAUCUUCUCCACCACCAAUGUCAGGCUAACUGUCAAUGAGUCAAAAG